UAGUGUGACACGUGUUGAUAUUUCUGACA
rnacentral:piRNA from 1 species